CGGACGGGUGAGUAACGCGUGAGAAUCUGGCUUCAGGUCUGGGACAACCACUGGAAACGGUGGCUAAUACCGGAUGUGCCGAGAGGUGAGAGGUUAACUGCCUGAAGAUGAGCUCGCGUCUGAUUAGCUAGUUGGAAGUGUAAUGGACUCCCAAGGCGACGAUCAGUAGCUGGUCUGAGAGGACGAUCAGCCACACUGGGACUGAGACACGGCCCAGACUCUUACGGGAGGCAGCAGUGGGGAAUUUUCCGCAAUGGGCGAGAGCCUGACGGAGCAAUGCCGCGUGGAGGUAGAAGGCUCACGGGUCGUAAACUCCUUUUCUCAGAGAAGAUGCAAUGACGGUAUCUGAGGAAUAAGCAUCGGCUAACUCCGUGCCAGCAGCCGCGGUAAUACGGAGGAUGCAAGCGUUAUCCGGAAUGAUUGGGCGUAAAGCGUCCGCAGGUGGCUAUGUAAGUCUGCUGUUAAAGAGUCUAGCUCAACUAGAUAAGAGCAGUGGAAACUACAAGGCUAGAGUACGUUCGGGGCAGAGGGAAUUCCUGGUGUAGCGGUGAAAUGCGUAGAGAUCAGGAAGAACACCGGUGGCGAAGGCGCUCUGCUAGGCCGUAACUGACACUGAGGGACGAAAGCUAGGGGAGCGAAUGGGAUUAGAUACCCCAGUAGUC
rnacentral:rRNA from 1 species